rnacentral:rRNA from 1 species
GAUGAACGCUGGCGGCGUGCCUAAUACAUGCAAGUCGAGCGAACAGAUGAGGAGCUUGCUCCUCUGACGUUAGCGGCGGACGGGUGAGUAACACGUGGAUAACCUACCUAUAAGACUGGGAUAACUUCGGGAAACCGGAGCUAAUACCGGAUAAUAUAUUGAACCGCAUGGUUCACUAGUGAAAGACGGUUUUGCUGUCACUUAUAGAUGGAUCCGCGCCGCAUUAGCUAGUUGGUAAGGUAACGGCUUACCAAGGCAACGAUGCGUAGCCGACCUGAGAGGGUGAUCGGCCACACUGGAACUGAGACACGGUCCAGACUCCUACGGGAGGCAGCAGUAGGGAAUCUUCCGCAAGGGGCGAAAGCCUGACGGAGCAACGCCGCGUGAGUGAUGAAGGUCUUCGGAUCGUAAAACUCUGUUAUUAGGGAAGAACAAAUGUGUAAGUAACUAUGCACGUCUUGACGGUACCUAAUCAGAAAGCCACGGCUAACUACGUG